CCUACCGGGGGCUGCAGUGGGGAAUAUUGGACAAUGGGGGCAACCCUGAUCCAGCCAUGCCGCGUGUGUGAAGAAGGCCCUCGGGUUGUAAAGCACUUUCAGUGAGGAAGAACGCCUGGUGGUUAAUACCCAUCAGGAAAGACAUCACUCACAGAAGAAGCACCGGCUAACUCCGUGCCAGCAGCCGCGGUAAUACGGAGGGUGCGAGCGUUAAUCGGAAUUACUGGGCGUAAAGCGCGCGUAGGUGGCUUGAUAAGCCGGUUGUGAAAGCCCCGGGCUCAACCUGGGAACGGCAUCCGGAACUGUCAAGCUAGAGUGCAGGAGAGGAAGGUAGAAUUCCCGGUGUAGCGGUGAAAUGCGUAGAGAUCGGGAGGAAUACCAGUGGCGAAGGCGGCCUUCUGGACUGACACUGACACUGAGGUGCGAAAGCGUGGGUAGCAAACAGGAUUAGAUACCCCGGUAGUC
rnacentral:rRNA from 1 species